CAUGCAAGUCGUACGCACUGGCCCAACUGAUUGAUGGUGCUUGCACCUGAUUGACGAUGGAUCACCAGUGAGUGGCGGACGGGUGAGUAACACGUAGGUAACCUGCCCCGGAGCGGGGGAUAACAUUUGGAAACAGAUGCUAAUACCGCAUAACAACAAAAGCCGCAUGGCUUUUGUUUGAAAGAUGGCUUUGGCUAUCACUCUGGGAUGGACCUGCGGUGCAUUAGCUAGUUGGUAAGGUAACGGCUUACCAAGGCGAUGAUGCAUAGCCGAGUUGAGAGACUGAUCGGCCACAAUGGAACUGAGACACGGUCCAUACUCCUACGGGAGGCAGCAGUAGGGAAUCUUCCACAAUGGGCGCAAGCCUGAUGGAGCAACACCGCGUGAGUGAAGAAGGGUUUCGGCUCGUAAAGCUCUGUUGUUGGAGAAGAACGUGCGUGAGAGUAACUGUUCACGCAGUGACGGUAUCCAACCAGAAAGUCACGGCUAACUACGUGCCAGCAGCCGCGGUAAUACGUAGGUGGCAAGCGUUAUCCGGAUUUAUUGGGCGUAAAGCGAGCGCAGGCGGUUGCUUAGGUCUGAUGUGAAAGCCUUCGGCUUAACCGAAGAAGUGCAUCGGAAACCGGGCGACUUGAGUGCAGAAGAGGACAGUGGAACUCCAUGUGUAGCGGUGGAAUGCGUAGAUAUAUGGAAGAACACCAGUGGCGAAGGCGGCUGUCUGGUCUGCAACUGACGCUGAGGCUCGAAAGCAUGGGUAGCGAACAGGAUUAGAUACCCUGGUAGUCCAUGCCGUAAACGAUGAGUGCUAGGUGUUGGAGGGUUUCCGCCCUUCAGUGCCGGAGCUAACGCAUUAAGCACUCCGCCUGGGGAGUACGACCGCAAGGUUGAAACUCAAAGGAAUUGACGGGGGCCCGCACAAGCGGUGGAGCAUGUGGUUUAAUUCGAAGCUACGCGAAGAACCUUACCAGGUCUUGACAUCUUGCGCUAACCUUAGAGAUAAGGCGUUCCCUUCGGGGACGCAAUGACAGGUGGUGCAUGGUCGUCGUCAGCUCGUGUCGUGAGAUGUUGGGUUAAGUCCCGCAACGAGCGCAACCCUUGUUACUAGUUGCCAGCAUUGAGUUGGGCACUCUAGUGAGACUGCCGGUGACAAACCGGAGGAAGGUGGGGACGACGUCAGAUCAUCAUGCCCCUUAUGACCUGGGCUACACACGUGCUACAAUGGACGGUACAACGAGUCGCAAACUCGCGAGAGUAAGCUAAUCUCUUAAAGCCGUUCUCAGUUCGGACUGUAGGCUGCAACUCGCCUACACGAAGUCGGAAUCGCUAGUAAUCGCGGAUCAGCAUGCCGCGGUGAAUACGUUCCCGGGCCUUGUACACACCGCCCGUCACACCAUGGGAGUUUGUAACGCCCAAAGUCGGUGGCCUAACCUUUAUGGAGGGAGCCGCCU
rnacentral:rRNA from 1 species